rnacentral:rRNA from 1 species
GACGAACGCUGGCGGCGUGCCUUACACAUGCAAGUCGAACGGCAGCACGGGAGCAAUCCUGGUGGCGAGUGGCGAACGGGUGAGUAAUAUAUCGGAACGUGCCCAGUAGUGGGGGAUAGCCCGGCGAAAGCCGGAUUAAUACCGCAUACGACCUGUGGGUGAAAGCGGGGGAUCGCAAGACCUCGCGCUAUUGGAGCGGCCGAUAUCAGAUUAGCUUGUUGGUGGGGUAAAAGCCCACCAAGGCGACGAUCUGUAGCUGGUCUGAGAGGACGACCAGCCACACUGGGACUGAGACACGGCCCAGACUCCUACGGGAGGCAGCAGUGGGGAAUUUUGGACAAUGGGCGCAAGCCUGAUCCAGCCAUGCCGCGUGAGUGAAGAAGGCCU